GAUGAACGCUGGCGGCGUGCCUAAUACAUGCAAGUCGAGCGAACAGAUAAGGAGCUUGCUCCUUUGACGUUAGCGGCGGACGGGUGAGUAACACGUGGGUAACCUACCUAUAAGACUGGGAUAACUUCGGGAAACCGGAGCUAAUACCGGAUAAUAUUUCGAACCGCAUGGUUCGAUAGUGAAAGAUGGUUUUGCUAUCACUUAUAGAUGGACCCGCGCCGUAUUAGCUAGUUGGUAAGGUAACGGCUUACCAAGGCGACGAUACGUAGCCGACCUGGGAGGGUGAUCGGCCACACUGGAACUGAGACACGGUCCAGACUCCUACGGGAGGCAGCAGUAGGGAAUCUUCCGCAAUGGGCGAAAGCCUGACGGAGCAACGCCGCGUGAGUGAUGAAGGUCUUCGGAUCGUAAAACUCUGUUAUUAGGGAAGAACAUACGUGUAAGUAACUGUGCACGUCGUGACGGUACCUAAUCAGAAAGCCACGGCUAACUACGUG
rnacentral:rRNA from 1 species